UACGUAGGUGACCAGCGUUGUCCGGAUUUACUGGGCGUAAAGAGCGCGCAGGCGGUCGUUCAAGUCGAGUGUGAAAGCCCCCGGCUCAACUGGGGAGGGUCACUCGAUACUGAUCGACUUGAAGGCAGGAGAGGGAAGCGGAAUUCCCGGUGUAGUGGUGAAAUGCGUAGAUAUCGGGAGGAACGCCAGUGGCGAAGGCGGCUUCCUGGCCUGUUCUUGACGCUGAGGCGCGAAAGCUAGGGGAGCAAACAGG
rnacentral:rRNA from 1 species